UACGGGGGGGGUAAGCGUUGUUCGGAAUUACUGGGCGUAAAGGCUCGUAGGCGGCCAACUAAGUCAGACGUGAAAUCCCUCAGCUUAACUGGGGAACUGCGUCUGAUACUGGAUGGCUUGGAUUCGGGAGAGGAAUGCGGAAUUCCAGGUGUAGCGGUGAAAUGCGCAGAUAUCAGGAGGAACACCGGUGGCGAAGGCGGGUCUCUGGGCCGUAACUGACGCUGAGGAGCGAAAGCAUGGGGAGCAAACAGG
rnacentral:rRNA from 1 species